CUUGGCGAAUCCGGCCCGGGAACCACGUCCAGGGUGAGCGGCCCGGGACCUGGGGCCGGGUGGCUCAGGGUCGGCCGCCGGGGCGCCGCCGCCGAGCUCCUGAGGCGGCCGAGCCCCGCACGAUGUCCAGCCGCAAGUGGGCCGCGGCCGGGGUCCGAGGAGAGGACAUCACCUUUGGCUCUAAAAAGAAGAUUCCAUUUUUCAUGAUAAAAUGGCAGUGGUGAAAACCCCCAGCAGAGGACUGAAAAAUGCUAAAGAACCCUUUAAUAAUGCAUCGCCCCACCUCUUGAAGAACCUAGUGGAGGAGCCCAAGAAGAGAAGAGAAGUACCUAAUCACCUCCUAGAAUCAAAGGUUUAUGCAAAACUUGUAAAAAAUAAGGUCAUACAGGCAAAACCUGGCAUAAUACAUUUUGGAGGCUAUCAAGUAGAAAAACAACACCAACAGAUUCUGCACCUGAUCAAUAUUUCCAAUGAAGUUACAAGUGUUCAUAUUUUACCCCCGCAAACCAAAUACUUUGAGAUCAAUUAUGUAAUAAAGGAACACCGCCUGCUCCCUGGCUUGUCCCUCACGGUCACCGUUACAUUUUCUCCAGAUGAGUGGCGAUACUACUAUGACUGCAUCCGCAUUCACUGUAAGGGAGAUGACACUUUGCUCGUUCCUAUUCAUGCCUAUCCAGUCGUGAACUCACCGGACUUUCCUUCAUUUAUAAAUCUGUCAAAUGUUCUACUUGGUGAAAGCAAAACUUAUGUUAUUCCUUUGCAGUGCAGCUGUCCUAUAGAUUUUGAGUUCCAUAUCACUUUGAUUCACUCUCAUCAAGCCUUUGCUAUUGAGCCAACAUCAGGAAUAAUUCCAGCUAAUGGGAAGACGACUGUGACUAUUACAUUUACACCCUUUCAGUAUGGGACUGCACAAAUCAAAAUGCAGUUAUGGAUUUCACAGUUCAACUCUCAACCGUACGAAUGUGUCUUCACCGGAACGUGCUAUCCCAACAUGGCCUUACCAUUGGAAGAGUUCGAAAGAUUGAAUACCCUUUCUAAAAAAGUAAACAUUCCUCCAGAAAAAGCAAUGACGCAUAUAUAUUUUCACCGACCACCAGUGAAACCGAAGCUUCAGAAGGUGAAGGAAAUUGAGUACCAGAACCUGAGAUUUCCAGUAGAUUUAUCGAAUCCGUUUGCUGUGGCAACUGUUUUAAACCAAGAACCGGGAAAACUGAAGAUUAAAGAAUUAAGAGAAGUUUUGGAUCAAGGCACUGAAAUUUCAAAAACAAGACAGAUGAAGGAGGCACUCUUUGAACAGAAAGUCAGACAGGACAUUCACGAAGAGAUGGAAAAUCAUCUUAAGUGGCAGGUGCACCUUGGUAAAGAUCCUAUGUCUUUUAAACUUAAAAAAGAGCUUACUGAGGAGUGGCAAAGAGCAUGCUCCAAAUAUAAGCUAGAUAGAGGAGAUCCUAUUUUGGAUGAGGAAUUUCAGCGACUUAAAACAGAAGUUAGCCAGAAACGGAUCAUUCGCAAUCGAGAAGAGAAAAUCAAGGAAUUUCAUCCUAAUUUUGAUCCACUCAUUAAUAACACUUGGCUCAGCAGAUCCAGGGCACAAAGACGCUUUCAACAAGUAGCACGCAAGGUCAUGAUUCAGGGACGAUUAUUCAAUAUGCUGAGUGCUGUUCGUGAAAUGGACAAAGAGAGUGUCCGGAGAAAGAUUGGCCAAGCAAAACAAUCAAUGGCACAAGAGACAAAUUUCUUCAAAUUCUUCCUGCGGCAAAUCAGUCAGGAUGAUUAUACCACCCGGUUCUCUGUGUCGCCCGAGGAGGUGCUGCCCUUCGCUUUCCCAGACUGCAGCCCACCCCAGGAUUCCAACGAGUUGGCUCCUGAUGGCCUUGGACUGGUUCCAGUUAAGUCUUCAGAAGUUCAAAUCAAGCAGAGUUAUUCCUUCUUCAAUCUGCAGGUUCCUCAACUGUACAAAAUUAAGAGAUAUCAGCCGUUCUCUGUCCACAAGUCUUCAACAAGUUACAGACCUCAAAAGCUUGCCCGAGCCCUAAGGCAAGGAGCUGAGGAUGAAGUCACCACCAUCAUAGCCCUUCCAAAACAGGACUCUACACCUCAGCUCUCUGACAAGACCUCAAUCUUGAGCAUGAAACCACCUGAGGCCUUAGCCAUGUCCCUAGAUUAUGAUCCACUGUAUGUUUUUAAUCCCAACCCAGGAUUAUUUGCAGUAAUGCAUCCUCUGACCUACGCAGAAACGUCAAUAGAUUACCAUCUAUGCUCUCAUCCCAAGUACAAGUUCACCGAGUCUCACCGCAGGUCCAGCAUUCCUGUCACCCAAAAGCAGUUUCUCCAUCACACGGACAUUAUUCCCGGAAUCAUGCACUGGAAAAGCUUCCAGUCCCUGGUUCUCUCCUCCCUGCCAGACCCCUUCAAGAUGGAGACCACGAAGAGCUGCGACUCCUUCAAUUCAUUUAUGCUUCCAAUAGAAGUCCCUGCCGUUCUUGAUGCCCUACCAGAAGAAGACAGACUAGAAACAGUUGAACGUGAGCUCUGUGAGCAAAAUAUAGAAGUUAUGUUGACUCCAGAAAUGAUCAAAGUGGCAUUUCCUAUGUUGAACUGCAAGGACAUCAGGAAGGAGAAAUACCUGGAUUCUGGUGAGCGCCAGGACAGUCUCUGAGCCGGAUCUCCAUCUGCAUCCUAAUCCUUAGCGACAGCCCACCAACAGGCAAACAGGCCCCUAAGAAGCCCAAGCCCUCCCCAUCUCUCAGCCCUCUGUCUACCCCGCAUUGCACUCCUCAAUUGAUAGCCUCAUUUUACACCUCAUCCAGUCAAAGUUCUACCCAGCAACCCCGGCCACACCAGCAUCAGCCUUGGCUCCAUGUCAGCCACUACUUGGUCCAGGAGCACAACCCUCCCUUUUGGUGCCCACUCUUCUGGAGCCAUUGCCAGAGUCAGAAUAGUGUGUAUCUACCUCAUUCAUAAAGAUGGAAAAACAGCCAGCAUGGACUGAGCACUCAGAAGACGUCACACUAGGAUCUCUGUGAAUAAGAUCUCAUCUCACCUCCGCUACAGUGCUGUGAGAUGGGAAUUACACCAUUCGUACAUAAGGAAACAGGAGCUCUGGAUGCUUAGGUAACUUGCCCAUACUCAGAAACGGAUACAGCUGAGACCACAAGCCAGAUCUGAAUCAUUCAUAAGCUGAGUGCUUUCUCUGAGAAGUGAAAGAUCAAGAACAACCAGCAGACAAGGCAGGAGAGAAGGUGCUUAAGGAGAUGAAGAAUCUGCGGGGCAAAGCUCUCAACACAUGCCUGAUUCUAGAAUGAAAGUCACCAGUAGGUCAGUCCCUCCCAUCUGCUUUCUGCGGGCCUCUGCGGCCCCUUGCAUCCAUUUACAUGCCAGCCAUCUCUGCAAUUAAAGUUUCUAGAGAAAAAAAUGAAAUAUAGAGGAUGUAUAUAUUUUUAAGUGAUCAUUAUAAAUCUUAUAUUUAAAAAUAAAAUGGCGUUAAGAUGA